GACUCCUACGGGAGGCAGCAGUGGGGAAUAUUGCACAAUGGGCGAAAGCCUGAUGCAGCAACGCCGCGUGAGGGAUGACGGCCUUUCGGGUUGUAAACCUCUUUUAGCAGGGAAGAAGCGAAAGUGACGGUACCUGCAGAAAAAGCACCGGGCUAACUACGUGCCAGCAGCCGCGGUAAUACGUAGGGUGCAAGCGUUAUCCGGAAUUAUUGGGCGUAAAGAGCUCGUAGGCGGUCUGUCGCGUCUGCUGUGAAAUCCCGAGGCUCAACCUCGGGCUUGCAGUGGGUACGGGCAGACUAGAGUGCGGUAGGGGAGAUUGGAAUUCCUGGUGUAGCGGUGGAAUGCGCAGAUAUCAGGAGGAACACCGAUGGCGAAGGCAGAUCUCUGGGCCGUAACUGACGCUGAGGAGCGAAAGGGUGGGGAGCAAACAGGCUUAGAUACCCUGGUAGUCCACCCCGUAAACGUUGGGAACUAGUUGUGGGGUCCUUUCCACGGAUUCCGUGACGCAGCUAACGCAUUAAGUUCCCCGCCUGGGGAGUACGGCCGCAAGGCUAAAACUCAAAGGAAUUGACGGGGACCCGCACAAGCGGCGGAGCAUGCGGAUUAAUUCGAUGCAACGCGAAGAACCUUACCAAGGCUUGACAUACACGAGAACGGGCCAGAAAUGGUCAACUCUUUGGACACUCGUGAACAGGUGGUGCAUGGUUGUCGUCAGCUCGUGUCGUGAGAUGUUGGGUUAAGUCCCGCAACGAGCGCAACCCUCGUUCUAUGUUGCCAGCACGUAAUGGUGGGAACUCAUGGGAUACUGCCGGGGUCAACUCGGAGGAAGGUGGGGAUGACGUCAAAUCAUCAUGCCCCUUAUGUCUUGGGCUUCACGCAUGCUACAAUGGCCGGUACAAUGGGCUGCGAUACCGUAAGGUGGAGCGAAUCCCAAAAAGCCGGUCCCAGUUCGGAUUGAGGUCUGCAACUCGACCUCAUGAAGUCGGAGUCGCUAGUAAUCGCAGAUCAGCAACGCUGCGGUGAAUACGUUCCCGGGUCUUGUACACACCGCCCGUCAAGUCAUGAAAGUCGGUAACACCUGAAGCCGGUGGCCUAUCCCCCUGUGCGUAGCGUAGACGAGUCCUA
rnacentral:rRNA from 1 species